AGAGUUUGAUUCUUGGCUCAGAAUUGAACGCUGGCGGCAGGCCUAACACAUUGCAAGUCGAGCGGCAGCGGGAGGAAGCUUUGCUUCCUCGCCGGCGAGCGGCGGGCGGGUGAGUAAUGUCUGGGGAUCUGCCCGAUGGAGGGGGAUAACCACUGGAAACGGUGGCUAAUACCGCAUAACGUCGCAAGACCAAAGUGGGGGACCUUCGGGCCUCACACCAUCGGAUGAACCCAGAUGGGAUUAACUAGUAGGUGGGGUAAUGGCUCACCUAGGCGACGAUCCCUAGCUGGUCUGAGAGGAUGACCAGCCACACUGGAACUGAGACACGGUCCAGACUCCUACGGGAGGCAGCAGUGGGGAAUAUUGCACAAUGGGGCGCAAGCCUGAUGCAGCCAUGCCGCGUGUGUGAAGAAAGGCCUUCGGGUUGUAAAGCACUUUCAGCGAGGAGGAAGGGUGGUGAGCCUAAUACGCUCAUCAAUUUGACGUUACUCGCAGAAAGAAAGCACCGGCUAACUUCCGUGCCAGCAGCCGCGGUAAUACGGAGGGUGCAAGCGUUAAUCGGAAUUACUGGGCGUAAAGCGCACGCAGGCGGUUUGUUAAGUCAGAUGUGAAAUCCCCGAGCUUAACUUGGGAACUGCAUUUGAAACUGGCAAGCUAGAGUCUCGUAGAAGGGGGGGUAGAAUUCCAGGUGGUAGCGGUGGAAUGCGCGUAAAGAUCUUGGAAGAAUUACGGUGUGGGCGAAGGCGGCCUCCUGGACGAAGACUGACGCUCAUGUGCGAAAGCGUGGGGAGCAAACAGGAUUAGUUAACCCUGGUAGUCACGC
rnacentral:rRNA from 1 species